rnacentral:rRNA from 1 species
UACGUAGGAGGCAAGCGUUGGCCGGAAUCACUGGGCGUAAAGCGCGUGUAGGCGGAUCGCUAAGUCUGUGGUGAAAGCGCCUGGCUUAACCGGGCGAGGUCCAUGGAAACUAGCGGUCUGGAGGCCGGUAGAGGGGGGUGGAAUUCCGGGUGUAGUGGUGAAAUGCGUAGAGAUCCGGAGGAACACCAGUGGCGAAGGCGGCCCCCUGGGCCGCGCCUGACGCUGAGACGCGAAAGCGCGGGGAGCGAACGGG